rnacentral:rRNA from 1 species
UCGGGAAUUUUGGGCAAUGGGCGAAAGCCUGACCCAGCAACGCCGCGUGAAGGAUGAAGUAUUUCGGUAUGUAAACUUCGAAAGAAUAGGAAGAAUAAAUGACGGUACUAUUUAUAAGGUCCGGCUAACUACGUGCCAGCAGCCGCGGUAAUACGUAGGGACCAAGCGUUGUUCGGAUUUACUGGGCGUAAAGGGCGCGUAGGCGGCAAUUCAAGUCAUCUGUGAAAUCUCCGGGCUUAACUCGGAACGGUCAGAUGAUACUGCUUUGCUAGAGUGCAGAAGGGGCAAUCGGAAUUCUUGGUGUAGCGGUGAAAUGCGUAGAUAUCAAGAGGAACACCUGAGGUGAAGACGGGUUGCUGGGCUGACACUGACGCUGAGGCGCGAAAGCCAGGGGAGCAAACGGGAUUAGAUACCCAAGUAUUCCCUGAGCGGGCUGGCAAGGCGCAU